rnacentral:lncRNA from 1 species
AAACACAUUUAUCUCUCUUAACAAAUUUCUUCAACACACAACCAUCAAAUUCAAAAAAUCAAACCCAAAACUCCACCUCUUCAAGAAUCUCAUCCUCGACCUUCAACCAAAAACAUCAAAAUCAAGAACAAUUUUUCACCCACAAAACAAACCCAAAAAUUCAUAUGCUCAAGAACAUUUUUCGGAACCUUUAUCCCCAAACCUAGGACAUUCAAAACCUUCAACCAAAAUUACGAAUAGAUUCA